rnacentral:rRNA from 1 species
UACGUAGGGUGCAAGCGUUAAUCGGAAUUACUGGGCGUAAAGCGUGCGCAGGCGGCUUUGCAAGACAGAUGUGAAAUCCCCGGGCUCAACCUGGGAACCGCAUUUGUGACUGCAUCGCUGGAGUGCGGCAGAGGGGGAUGGAAUUCCGCGUGUAGCAGUGAAAUGCGUAGAUAUGCGGAGGAACACCGAUGGCGAAGGCAAUCCCCUGGGCCUGCACUGACGCUCAUGCACGAAAGCGUGGGGAGCAAACAGG